rnacentral:rRNA from 1 species
CACACCGCCCGUCGCUACUACCGAUUGAAUGGCUCAGUGAGGCCAUCGGACUGGCCCGUGGAGGUUGGCAACGACCACCGCGGGCCGGAAAGUUGUACGAACUCGGUCAUUUAGAGGAAGUAAAAGUCGUAACAAGGUUUCCGUAGGUGAACCUGCGGAAGGAUCAUUACUGUCACAAUUGGCUUACACCCACGCGGCUUGUCUCGUGCACCCGCGUGGGCGUCUAUACCCACUGUCUACGUGUACCUCUUGUUGUUUCCUCGGCGGGCUUGCCCGUCGCUAGAAACCUCCUUAAACCCUUGCAUCUGAAGUAUUAUACAACUCCGAUAAACCACUUAAUUAUCACAACUUUCAACAAUGGAUCUCUUGGUUCUGGCAUCGAUGAAGAACGCAGCGAAAUGCGAAAAGUAGUGUGAAUUGCAGAAUUCCGUGAAUCAUCGAAUCUUUGAACGCACAUUGCGCCCCUCGGUAUUCCGUGGGGCAUGCCUGUUCGAGCGUCAUUUACACCCUCAAGCUCUGCUUGGUGUUGGGCGUCUGUCCCGCCUCCGCGUGUGGACUCGCCCCAAAGUCAUUGGCAGCGGUCGUGCCAGCUUCUCGUGCAGCACAUUGCGCUUCUCGAAGCUCUGGUGGAUCAGCGUCCAGCAAGCCUUUUAUAACUUGACCUCGGAUCAGGUAGGGAUACCCGCUGAACUUAAGCAUAUCAAUAAGCGGAGGAAAAGAAACCAACUGGGAUUGCCCUAGUAACGGCGAGUGAAGCGGCAACAGCUCAAAUUUGAAAUCUGGCUCCCUCUAGGGGUCCGAGUUGUAAUUUGCAGAGGGUGCUUUGGCGUUGGUGGCGGUCUAAGUUCCUUGGAACAGGACAUCGCAGAGGGUGAGAAUCCCGUUUGUGGUCGCCUGCCUUCGCCGUGUAAAGCCCCUUCGACGAGUCGAGUUGUUUGGGAAUGCAGCUCUAAAUGGGAGGUAAAUUUCUUCUAAAGCUAAAUACUGGCCAGAGACCGAUAGCGCACAAGUAGAGUGAUCGAAAGAUGAAAAGCACUUUGGAAAGAGAGUCAAACAGCACGUGAAAUUGUUGAAAGGGAAGCGCUUGCAGCCAGACUUGCCCGUAGUUGCUCACCUAGGCUUUCGCCUGGGGCACUCUUCUGCGGGCAGGCCAGCAUCAGUUUGGGCGGUCGGAUAAAGGCCUCUGUCACGUAUCUUCCUUCGGGAUGACCUUAUAGGGGAGGCGACAUGCGACCAGCCCGGACUGAGGUCCGCGCUUCUGCUAGGAUGCUGGCGUAAUGGCUGUAAGCGGCCCGUCUUGAAACACGGACCAAGGAGUCUAACAUCUAUGCGAGUGUUUGGGUGUCAAGCCCGAGCGCGUAAUGAAAGUGAACGGAGGUGGGAACCCUUGGGUGCACCAUCGACCGAUCCUGAUGUCUUCGGAUGGAUUUGAGUAAGAGCAUAGCUGUUGGGACCCGAAAGAUGGUGAACUAUGCUUGAAUAGGGUGAAGCCAGAGGAAACUCUGGUGGAGGCUCGCAGCGGUUCUGACGUGCAAAUCGAUCGUCAAAUUUGGGCAUAGGGGCGAAAGACUAAUCGAACUAUCUAGUAGCUGGUUCCUGC